rnacentral:rRNA from 1 species
AUACGAAGGGGGCUAGCGUUGUUCGGAAUCACUGGGCGUAAAGCGCGCGUAGGUGGAUCAAUUAGUUGAGGGUGAAAUCCCGGGGCUCAACCUCGGAACUGCCUUCAAUACUGUUGAUCUUGAGACCGAGAGAGGUGAGUGGAAUUCCUAGUGUAGAGGUGAAAUUCGUAGAUAUUAGGAAGAACACCAGUGGCGAAGGCGGCUCACUGGCUCGGUACUGACGCUGAGGUGCGAGAGCGUGGGGAGCAAACAGGAUUAGAAACCCUUGUAGUCC